GAUUACCACUUGUUCUACAUUAGCUACAUUUGUGACAGAGACUUCCCAGAAUACGGGCAAGGAGAACCAUCUUCCAAUCACAAUGACUUAUGGCUUACGGCUCCAAGCCAUCAUGUUUUCAUUCUUGUAGCUUCAGUUUCCCAGAAUGGCAUUGCUUAACCUUGUUCUCCAAAGGAGGCAGCUAGAAGGUAAUGGAAAGAGACCGGACACCAAAACUGGAAGAACUGGACCUCCAGUCUGCAGAUCGCCAGCCCACUGCAUGAAGUUCACUGCCCUGGACCAGAAGGC
rnacentral:lncRNA from 1 species